CCAAACAAAAGUCUCUGUGAGAUUGCAAAGGUUUAACUGGUUGAUGUAUUUUCAAUGAAGGUUUUUAAAGACCAAGAUCAAGCUAGCCUCCAACUAGACCAUUGCCCACCACCCCCCACCAUCACUAAAGUUAGCUACACUUAUAUCUUUUAUUGUUUAUGUUUGUACACAUUUUUUUAUUUUGGUCAAAAUGUUUUAAAUGUUUAUGUACGCAUUUGAAUCUUGUUUUUAUUAUGCAAUGAAAAUUAUUUAUGUAAUGACAGUUAUAGUUUU